AACGAACGCUGGCGGCAGGCCUAACACAUGCAAGUCGAGCGCCCUUUCGGGGGAGCGGCGGCCGGGUGAGUAACGCGUGGGAAUAUGCCCUUCUCUACGGAGUAGCCUCGGGAAACUGAGAGUAAUACCGUAUACGCCCUGUGGGGGAAAGAUUUAUCGGGGAAGGAUUAGCCCGCGUUGGAUUAGGUAGUUGGUGGGGUAAUGGCCUACCAAGCCGACGAUCCAUAGCUGGUUUGAGAGGAUGAUCAGCCACACUGGGACUGAGACACGGCCCAGACUCCUACGGGAGGCAGCAGUGGGGAAUCUUAGACAAUGGGGGCAACCCUGAUCUAGCCAUGCCGCGUGAGUGAUGAAGGCCUUAGGGUUGUAAAGCUCUUUCAGCUGGGAAGAUAAUGACGGUACCAGCAGAAGAAGCCCCGGCUAACUCCGUG
rnacentral:rRNA from 1 species